GAUGAACGCUGGCGGCGUGCCUAAUACAUGCAAGUCGAGCGAACAGACGAGGAGCUUGCUCCUCUGACGUUAGCGGCGGACGGGUGAGUAACACGUGGAUAACCUACCUAUAAGACUGGGAUAACUUCGGGAAACCGGAGCUAAUACCGGAUAAUAUAUUGAACCGCAUGGUUCAAUAGUGAAAGACGGUUUUGCUGUCACUUAUAGAUGGAUCCGCGCCGCAUUAGCUAGUUGGUAAGGUAACGGCUUACCAAGGCAACGAUGCGUAGCCGACCUGAGAGGGUGAUCGGCCACACGGGAACUGAGACACGGUCCAGACUCCUACGGGAGGCAGCAGUAGGGAAUCUUCCGCAAUGGGCGAAAGCUUGACGGAGCAACGCCGCGUGAGUGAUGAAGGUCUUCGGUUCGUAAAACUCUGUUAUUAGGGAAGAACAAAUGUGUAAGUAACUAUGCACGUCUUGACGGUACCUAAUCAGAAAGCCACGGCUAACUACGUG
rnacentral:rRNA from 1 species